UACGUAGGGUGCAAGCGUUGUCCGGAAUUAUUGGGCGUAAAGAGCUCGUAGGCGGUUUGUCGCGUCUGCUGUGAAAUCUAGAGGCUCAACCUCUAGCCUGCAGUGGGUACGGGCAGACUUGAGUGGUGUAGGGGAGACUGGAAUUCCUGGUGUAGCGGUGAAAUGCGCAGAUAUCAGGAGGAACACCGGUGGCGAAGGCGGGUCUCUGGGCCGUAACUGACGCUGAGGAGCGAAAGCGUGGGGAGCGAACAGG
rnacentral:rRNA from 1 species